rnacentral:pre_miRNA from 1 species
AUAGCUGUUGUGUCACUUCCUCAUGCUGACAUAUUUACUAGAGGGUGAAAUUAAUAACCUUCUAGUAAGAGUGGCAGUGGAAGGGAAGGGCUCAU